ensembl:lncRNA
UGGGGUUAAAGAUUCCUGAUGAAGGCACCGGGUGAUGCCACAAUCCCGCCUGCCCUCAAGGAGGGUGGAUGGAGAACCAAGUGGGAGGGGCUACGCGGCUGCGCAAAGACCCCUAAAUGCCUGUUGCCCGCUUGGCCGCGAGGGGUGAAUUUAGCAGUGUCGGGCUUUUGGUCCUAAUAUGCGGGCACUAUACACCCGGUCUCUGCUACCGGCUGACUGCGAGACCCUGAGGAAGUCACUUAACCUCUCUGAAGACUCGUAUUCCUCUUAUCUAGAAUAGGAAAGAACAAAAUCUUUCACUGCGUUUGGCAUUAACCUCCCAACACUGGGGCAUGGCUCGUACUAGGCGCUCUCAAAUGGCAAAUACAGAGGGAGAGGAGCGCCCUCGAACCCCUGCACCCAGAGGCUUCCACCCCAAGCUGCAAGCUGAAAGACCGAAGCCUCAGCCUGGAUGGUGAAGGGAGCGUGGUUCUUUCUUUUCACCCGGACGACGGUGGGGCUGCUGGGGAAGGAAAGAAGAUUAACCAAGCUGCGUACUGACCAUCCCCGAUAGCCCCAGUGCGAUUUCCCUUAAGAUAGAAAAACUGCCCAACAGGAGGACGGGAGGGGCCUGUAAGGCCUCGACUCCAGCCUUCCAUAGCCGAAAGAGAGGAUGUGACUACCAGAGGCAAUAGUCAUAUCCCAGUUGUCUACUGAGUGCACGCUAGGCACCAGGCUGUGUGCUGGGUGGGAAGGGGGAAAGGAAGGAGGUACUGAAAUGUUUGGGGGUCCUCUGGGAACACAAAGUCCAGUGCACACUUAAAGUGCCUGAAGCCCAGGCCCAAAGUUCUGUCUCCAAAUGAGGUGCCUACUCCCCAUCACCAACCUUGGAAAGGGAAGUUACAUCCGCACCCCGUCCCCAGCACCCUUCUUCCAAACACUGCUUCCUCCCUGUCCUGAUCCUGGCUCCCUUCUGCUGAUGCUGUCAUUCCCUUCCCUACUGCCCCUGAGACAUUUUUGCUCGGUACAAAGAGCUCCAAUUGAAGAGAGUGCCAGCCAGAGUGAAUUCAAAUCUUUAUAACCAACUAGCUGUGCCUUCUUGGGAUUCCUCUGGCACCACACUGGAAAAUAGAUGGCAGAAGCAGAGAAUGCAAGAGACUAGAUUGGAAGUUGACAUCAGUGGAGAUAUAAUAAGAGCCUGAACUGUGUCAGUGACUGUCUCAAGACAGAAGAAAAGGACAUCUAAAUAAUAGCUACCAUUUGGAGAUCUGAUAUGGUUUGACUCUGUGUCGCCACCCAAAAAUCUCAUCUUGAAUUGUAAUCCACAUGUGUCAGGGGAGGGACCUCAUGGGAGGUGAUUGGAUGAUGGGGGCCGUUACUCCAUGAUGUUCUUGUGAUAGGGAGUUCUCGCGCGAUCUGGUUGUUUGAUAAGUGUCUGGCAUCUCCCCUGUAUCCUCUCUCUCACCCGCCACCAUGUACAAUGUGCCCUGCUUCCCCCCAGCUUCCACCAUGAUUAUAAGUUCCUGAGGCCUCCCCAGCCAUGCGGAACUGUGAGUCAAUUAAACUUCUUUUGUUUAUAAAUUA